UUGGUUAAGUUAGAAAGGGCGCACGGUGGAUGCCUUGGCACUAGGAGCCGAAGAAGGACGGGACUAACACCGAUAUGCUUUGGGGAGCUGUACGUAAGCGUUGAUCCAGAGAUUUCCGAAUGGGGGAACCCACUAUCUUUAGUCGGAUAGUAUCCUUACGUGAAUACAUAGCGUGAGGAAGGCAGACCCAGGGAACUGAAACAUCUAAGUACCUGGAGGAAGAGAAAGAAAAAUCGAUUUCCUGAGUAGCGGCGAGCGAAACGGAAAGAGCCCAAACCAAGAAGCUUGCUUCUUGGGGUUGUAGGACACUCUAUACGGAGUUACAAAAGAAAGUUAUAAAUGAAGCGGUCUGGAAAGGCCCGCCAAAGACGGUAACAGCCCGGUAGUUGAAAUGGCUUUCCCUCCAGAGUGGAUCCUGAGUACGGCGGAACACGUGAAAUUCCGUCGGAAUCCGGGAGGACCAUCUCCCAAGGCUAAAUACUCCCUAGUGACCGAUAGUGAACCAGUACCGUGAGGGAAAGGUGAAAAGCACCCCGGAAGGGGAGUGAAACAGUUCCUGAAACCGUGUGCCUACAAGUAGUUAGAGCCCGUUAAUGGGUGAUAGCGUGCCUUUUGUAGAAUGAACCGGCGAGUUACGAUUUGUUGCAAGGUUAAGCGGAAAAAGCGGAGCCGUAGCGAAAGCGAGUCUGAAUAGGGCGCAUAAGUAACAGGUCGUAGACCCGAAACCAGGUGAUCUACCCAUGUCCAGGAUGAAGGUAAGGUAAUACUUACUGGAGGUCCGAACCCACGCACGUUGAAAAGUGCGGGGAUGAGGUGUGGGUAGCGGAGAAAUUCCAAUCGAACUUGGAGAUAGCUGGUUCUCUCCGAAAUAGCUUUAGGGCUAGCCUCGAGGUAAAGAGUCAUGGAGGUAGAGCACUGUUUGGACUAGGGGCCCUUCUCGGGUUACCGAAUUCAGAUAAACUCCGAAUGCCAUGUACUUAUACUCGGGAGUCAGACUGCGAGUGAUAAGAUCCGUAGUCGAAAGGGAAACAGCCCAGACCACCAGUUAAGGUCCCCAAAUAUAUGUUAAGUGGAAAAGGAUGUGGGGUUGCUUAGACAACCAGGAUGUUGGCUUAGAAGCAGCCACCAUUGAAAGAGUGCGUAAUAGCUCACUGGUCGAGUGACCCCGCGCCGAAAAUGUACCGGGGCUAAACAUAUUACCGAAACUGUGGAUGAACCUCUUUAGAGGUU
rnacentral:rRNA from 1 species